AGAGUUUGAUCCUGGCUCAGAACGAACGCUGGCGGCGUGCUUAACACAUGCAAGUCGAGUGCGCGCCUGUAGCAAUACAGGUGGCGCACGGCGCACGGGUGCGUAACACGUGGGUAAUCUGCCCUCUGAUGGGGAAUAACCCGCCGAAAGGCGGGCUAAUACCGCAUAAAAUUCCUUGGAUUUCGGUCCGGGGACUCAAAGGCGUAAGUCGUCGGAGGAGGAGCCCGCGCACGAUUAGCUAGUUGGUAGGGUAAUGGCCUACCAAGGCUUUGAUCGUUAGCUGGUCUGAGAGGAUGGCCAGCCACACUGGAACUGAGACACGGUCCAGACUCCUACGGGAGGCAGCAGUGGGGAAUCUUGCACAAUGGGCGAAAGCCUGAUGCAGCGACGCCGCGUGGGGGAUGAAGCAUUUCGGUGUGUAAACCCCUUUCGAUCCGGACGAAUACCUCGCAAGAGGGGUGACGGUACGGAUAUAAGAAGCCCCGGCUAACUACGUGCCAGCAGCCGCGGUAAGACGUAGGGGGCCAGCGUUGUUCGGAAUUACUGGGUGUAAAGGGUUCGUAGGCGGUGUGGCAAGUUGGGAGUGAAAUCUCUGGGCUUAACCCAGAGGCUGCUUCCAAAACUGCUGUGCUUGAGUGUGAGAGAGGCUCGUGGAAUUGCAGGUGUAGCGGUGAAAUGCGUAGAUAUCUGCAGGAACACCCGUGGCGAAAGCGGCGAGCUGGAUCACUACUGACGCUGAGGAACGAAAGCUAGGGGAGCAAACAGGAUUAGAUACCCCCGUAGUCC
rnacentral:rRNA from 1 species